rnacentral:rRNA from 1 species
UGGUGGAGUGAUUUGUCUGGUUAAUUCUGCUAACGAACGAGACCUUAACCUGCUAAAUAGUUACAUGUAACCUCGGUUACAUGGGCAACUUCUUAGAGGGACUUUGCGUGUCUAACGCAAGGAAGUUUGAGGCAAUAACA